UACGAAGGGGGCUAGCGUUGUUCGGAAUUACUGGGCGUAAAGCGAACGUAGGCGGUGUUCCAUGUCAGAGGUGAAAGCCUGGGGCUCAACUCCAGAAUUGCCUUUGAAACGGGGACGCUUGAGUCCGAGAGAGGGUGGCGGAAUUCCUAGUGUAGAGGUGAAAUUCGUAGAUAUUAGGAAGAACACCAGUGGCGAAGGCGGCCACCUGGCUCGGUACUGACGCUCAGGUUCGAAAGCGUGGGGAGCGAACAGG
rnacentral:rRNA from 1 species